rnacentral:rRNA from 1 species
UGUAUGGUGAACAAACGUCUACAUGCAGUCGACGCUGAGCUUGGAUGCUUGCACUGGGUGGAUGAGUGGCGAACGGGUGAGUAAUACGUGAGUAACCUGCCCUUGACUCUGGGAUAAGCCUGGGAAACUGGGUCUAAUACUGGAUACGACAUGUCACCGCAUGGUGGUGUGUGGAAAGGGUUUUACUGGUUUUGGAUGGGCUCACGGCCUAUCAGCUUGUUGGUGGGGUAAUGGCUCACCAAGGCGACGACGGGUAGCCGGCCUGAGAGGGUGACCGGCCACACUGGGACUGAGACACGGCCCAGACUCCUACGGGAGGCAGCAGUGGGGAAUAUUGCACAAUGGGCGGAAGCCUGAUGCAGCGACGCCGCGUGAGGGAUGACGGCCUUCGGGUUGUAAACCUCUUUCAGCACGGAAGAAGCGAAAGUGACGGUACGUGCAUAAGAAGCGCCGGCUAACUACGUGCCAACAGCCGCGGUAAUACGUAGGGCGCAAGCGUUGUCCGGAAUUAUUGGGCGUAAAGAGCUCGUAUGCGGCUUGUCGCGUCUGCUGUGAAAGCCCGGCGCUUAACCCCGGGUGUGCAGUGCGUACGGGCAGACUUGAGUGCAGUAGGGGAGACUGGAAUUCCUGGUGUAGCGGUGAAAUGCGCAUAUAUCACGAGGAACACCGAUGGCGAAUGCAGGUCUCUGGGCUGUUACUGACACUGAUGAGCGAAAGCAUGGGGAGCGAACAGGAUUAGAUACCCUGGUAGUCCAAUGCCGUAAACGUUGGGCGACGUAGGCUGUCGUGGGAAUCAUUUCCACGUUUUCCGCGAC